AGCUGCCAAUCACAGUGAGCAGUGGGGAAUAUUGCACAAUGGGCGCAAGCCUGAUGCAGCGACGCCGCGUGAGGGAUGAAGGCCUUCGGGUCGUAAACCUCUUUCGGCAGGGACGAAGCGAUCAGUGACGGUACCUGCAGAAGAAGCCCCGGCUAACUACGUGCCAGCAGCCGCGGUAAGACGUAGGGGGCGAGCGUUGUCCGGAUUUAUUGGGCGUAAAGCGCGCGUAGGCGGCUACGCAAGUCGGUUGUGAAAUUCCGGGGCUCAACCCCGGAACUGCGUCCGAUACUGCGUGGCUAGAGGUAGGUAGGGGAGAUCGGAAUUCCUGGUGUAGCGGUGAAAUGCGCAGAUAUCAGGAGGAACACCGGUGGCGAAGGCGGAUCUCUGGGCCUUACCUGACGCUCAGGCGUGAAAGCUAGGGGAGCGAACAGGAUUAGAUACCCUGGUAGUCCUAGCCGUAAACGUUGGGUGCUAGGUGUGGGCGGAUAUCGACCCCGUCCGUGCCGAAGCUAACGCAUUAAGCACCCCGCCUGGGGAGUACGGCCGC
rnacentral:rRNA from 1 species